rnacentral:rRNA from 1 species
UGGAUCCAGACUUUGAUUAUGGCUCAGGAUGAACGCUGGCGGCGUGCCUAAUACAUGCAAGUCGAACGAAACUUCUUUAUCACCGAGUGCUUGCACUCACCGAUAAAGAGUUGAGUGGCGAACGGGUGAGUAACACGUGGGCAACCUGCCCAAAAGAGGGGGAUAACACUUGGAAACAGGUGCUAAUACCGCAUAACCAUAGUUACCGCAUGGUAACUAUGUAAAAGGUGGCUAUGCUACCGCUUUUGGAUGGGCCCGCGGCGCAUUAGCUAGUUGGUGGGGUAAAGGCUUACCAAGGCAAUGAUGCGUAGCCGAACUGAGAGGUUGAUCGGCCACAUUGGGACUGAGACACGGCCCAAACUCCUACGGGAGGCAGCAGUAGGGAAUCUUCCACAAUGGGCGAAAGCCUGAUGGAGCAACGCCGCGUGGGUGAAGAAGGUCUUCGGAUCGUAAAACCCUGUUGUUAGAGAAGAAAGUGCGUGAGAGUAACUGUUCACGUUUCGACGGUAUCUAACCAGAAAGCCACGGCUAACUACGUGCCAGCAGCCGCGGUAACACGUAGGUGGCAAGCGUUAUCCGGAUUUAUUGGGCGUAAAGGGAACGCAGGCGGUCUUUUAAGUCUGAUGUGAAAGCCUUCGGCUUAACCGGAGUAGUGCAUUGGAAACUGGGAGACUUGAGUGCAGAAGAGGAGAGUGGAACUCCAUGUGUAGCGGUGAAAUGCGUAGAUAUAUGGAAGAACACCAGUGGCGAAAGCGGCUCUCUGGUCUGUAACUGACGCUGAGGUUCGAAAGCGUGGGUAGCAAACAGGAUUAGAUACCCUGGUAGUCCACGCCGUAAACGAUGAAUGCUAAGUGUUGGAGGGUUUCCGCCCUUCAGUGCUGCAGCUAACGCAAUAAGCAUUCCGCCUGGGGAGUACGACCGCAAGGUUGCAACUCAAAUGAAUUGACGGA